GAUGAACGCUGGCGGCGUGCCUAAUACAUGCAAGUCGAGCGAACGGACGAGAAGCUUGCUUCUCUGAUGUUAGCGGCGGACGGGUGAGUAACACGUGGAUAACCUACCUAUAAGACUGGGAUAACUUCGGGAAACCGGAGCUAAUACCGGAUAAUAUUUUGAACCGCAUGGUUCAAAAGUGAAAGACGGUCUUGCUGUCACUUAUAGAUGGAUCCGCGCUGCAUUAGCUAGUUGGUAAGGUAACGGCUUACCAAGGCAACGAUGCAUAGCCGACCUGAGAGGGUGUUCGGCCACACUGGAACUGAGAAACGGUCCAGACUCCUACGGGAGGAAGCGGUAGGAAAUCUUCCGCAAGGGGCGAAGGCCUGACGGAGCAACGCGGCGUGAGUGAUGAAGGUCUUCGGAUGGUAAAACUCUGUUAUUAGAGAAGAAAAUAUGUGUAAGUAACUGUGCACAUCUUGACGGUACCUAAUAAGAAGGCCACGGCUAACUACGU
rnacentral:rRNA from 1 species